CGAGCUAAAAUUCAACAUGUCAGUCACUGGUUUUGUGCAUUUUGACAAGUCAUAUAUCAUUUUUAGAUAUAUUAGUAUCCUAAUCAGUAAUAGAAUGUUGGGCUGCAUAUGUUAUAUAGUGGAUGUAUUAAUGUUGAUAUGAAGUUCUUAUUAAUGUUAAAAAAUAUUGGCUAAAAGUAGAAAAUAAUCUUUUCCCCUUUUGACUUCAGUUUUUUGGCAAAUAGUUAUUUUUGAAUAAUACCAUUACCAAAUUCAGAUAAAUUGAAUGUUGGAAAGUUAGAAAAUUUUGUGCCUUAGUUUAAUCAGUGCCCCAGAAACUUACUAUGCAUUUUAAUUAUCUUAGGAUAUUUUAAAAAUACAAAAACUAAUUUAUUUAAUCGAGUGGUUUUCAAAAUUCUACAUUUCCAGCCAUCUCCCAGAUGAUGCUGUGAUUCCUACCUUUAAUUUACCUUUUAGUCAUAGUAGUAUAGAUGGAUAGAUAACAUAUUAUCAGUAUUAAUCAAUCUUUGAACAUUUGAACAUGGUGUAUUUCCUAACUAUAUUAUGUUGUAAGAAAAAAAUAAGUAUAAGUCAUAUGAGUAUCCUUCCCAUCAUGGUAAUUAAAAAGGAAGAUU
rnacentral:lncRNA from 1 species